GGAUCUAUGAUGAUUCCCACUCAAACAUUCCUUAGAAAAGCUGAACAAAAUGAAUGAAAUAUCAGAACUGCAACUCUAAUUGAAACUGAGUUCU